AGGAUGAACGCUGGCGGCGUGCCUAACACAUGCAAGUCGAGCGAUUUUUUUUUUGGAAGAGCGGCGGACGGGUGAGUAACGCGUGGGUAACCUGCCCUGUACACACGGAUAACAUACCGAAAGGUAUGCUAAUACGGGAUAACAUAUGAGAGUCACAUGACUUUUAUAUCAAAGCUUUUGCGGUACAGGAUGGACCCGCGUCUGAUUAGCUAGUUGGUAAGGUAACGGCUUACCAAGGCGACGAUCAGUAGCCGACCUGAGAGGGUGAUCGGCCACACUGGAACUGAGACACGGUCCAGACUCCUACGGGAGGCAGCAGUGGGGAAUAUUGCACAAUGGGCGAAAGCCUGAUGCAGCAACGCCGCGUGAGCGAUGAAGGCCUUCGGGUCGUAAGGCUCUGUCCUCAAGGAAGAUAAUGACGGUACUUGAGGAGGAAGCCCCGGCUAACUACGUGCCAGCAGCCGCGGUAAUACGUAGGGGGCUAGCGUUAUCCGGAAUUACUGGGCGUAAAGGGUGCGUAGGCGGUCUUUCAAGCCAGAAGUGAAAGGCUACGGCUCAACCGUAGUAAGCUUUUGGAACUGUAGGACUUGAGUGCAGGAGAGGAGAGUAGAAUUCCUAGUGUAGCGGUGAAAUGCGUAGAUAUUAGGAGGAAUACCAGUAGCGAAGGCGGCUCUCUGGACUGUAACUGACGCUGAGGCACGAAAGCGUGGGGAGCGAACAGGAUUAGAUACCCUGGUAGUCCACGCCGUAAACGAUGAGUACUAGGUGUCGGGGGUUGCCCCCCUCGGUGCCGCAGCUAACGCAUUAAGUACUCCGCCUGGGAAGUACGCUCGCAAGAGUGAAA
rnacentral:rRNA from 1 species